rnacentral:tRNA from 1 species
CCUUAGCUCAGUUGGUAGAGCAGUUGACUUUUAAUCAAUUGGUCGCAGGUUCGAAUCCUGCACGACCCACCA